rnacentral:snoRNA from 1 species
AGGCAACCCUCUUCUAACAAAAAAAACUGGGAAGGGAGGUGUUUAUCUGCUCAUAAAUCAAUUUACUUUUGCUCUUCAGACUUGCUGAUUCUUUUUCAUGAAGCUGGUCUAGUAAGCACAAGUACAUC